rnacentral:rRNA from 1 species
UAACUAUAACGGUCCUCUUAAUAACGACCUGCAUGAAACAUAGAACGAUUUGAUAGCUGUCUUGCACACACAUCAUGGUAAAAUAUUCAUCAGUACAAAUAAUAUGCUGCUGACACUAAAGGACAAAAAGACCCUUUGAAGCUUUAUAGGGAUAAAACUCAGCUUUAAAUCAACAAACAAUGAAAUCCAUCUUGUUGCUUCUCCGCUUUUAAAAUUGCUAAAGCCUUACAAGAUUUACAACAUCAAGACCACUGUUUAAUUGGGGCGAUAAGCUUAUCCACCUAAGGUGAACAAAGCGAUACAAGGAUCCUAAAUACUAAUUUGACCAACUAAUAAGUGCAAAGAUAUCCCGUAAAAAGGUACGUGAGCUGGGUUCAA